rnacentral:lncRNA from 1 species
AUCGCGCACACACACUAGCUGAAUAUGCAGAGCUAGCACGGAAAUAUUAACUAUUAAGCUAGCUAGUACCUAUUCCAUUUAUGUGGCGUCGUCAAAGAUGGAAUCAGCAUGCAGAUGAUGUAAGUUAGUGCUUCAAAGUCCCUGUGAUAAGGUUAGCGAUAAACUGAAAUCCAAACUGAACAGAACUACACUCUCUUCUACCAUUGUCUUAAAUAUAUUUAAUGGUCUCGUUGCAAAAGCUAAAUUGUCGCAAGUGAACUUUUAUUUAUUUAUUUUAUUUCACCUUUAUUUAACCCGGGUAGCAAAGAUUAUAGCAAACACCACUGAAACUUAAUUGGUGCUCGCUAGCUUUGCAAAUUCAGCUAUUGUUGGAAGCCAGCCAAUAUGAAACAAACUAUUAAAAUUACAAAAGGUUGCAGCAUAUGUUGUGUAAAUGGUGAACUCAUACAGCUGCCAACUCUUGUCAUUUUAAUCCGUUUCACAUUUGCUAGCUAUCUUUUAGAUCGAAGCCCAAAUAGAAUGAUUGAAAAUGAUAGAAGCCCAUCUCCUACUGUAAAUAACCUACACACUGUGUGUGUAGCCAGCCAGCCAGCCAGGUAGAAAAAUGGCAGAAAAAUAAAAGACGGACAUCAGAGUAUUUUUUUCAAUACACCAAAACGCAUAGCAGAGCAGGCAACAGAUGGCACACAGACAGCAGAGUUGGGGACAGAUAUGCAGGGACAGACUGGCAGAGACAGGGAGUCUCAGUCCAAACAAGAACACAGACCCCGGCCCCUGUCUGGCAAAGAUCCCCUCCACAGCUGACAGAAAGGAGUUCAUAUUGGACUUCACAAGAACAUUAAUUGAGAGAAGAGGCCCAAGUUCUCCACAUUUCUGAAGAAACACUGCAAGCAGGGAGGGUCUAUCCCAGCGCCAUCCCAUCUGCGUACAGAGUACAUUCGAUGCCAGCCUUAGCUCACUUUGAUACAUCUGUGCCUCCCCACUAGCUCAGUGGCUGUAGAGACUUUUCUUACAUUAUCAGAUGCUACUUAGUCAGCAUAGGAGCCUCACAGAUAAUCUUUUAAAUAUGUUGAUUGCAAAGUACAAAGCAUUGAGCGCUAAAAAGCAUGUCAGUCACACACCCAACUCUCCCCCUCUUUCUGUGUUUUGGUUUGAAGCAAUUUGCUAAGUUAUAUGGUGAAUGGAACGACGAGACAAAAUUGUUAAUCUAAUCUAUUUGGUGUUUAUGCAUUUAUAGCUGGACUCAAUGUAUUAUUUGUA